GGUACGAGGAGGAAUCUCCGGAAUGAUUUACUGGUUGCUGCAGAUUCAAUUACCAAUACCAUGUCUUCCUUGGUUAAAGAGCUGCAUUCAGGUGGGUGACAAGAGUGUAUUACCCAUGUAUUUUCAAAUAUAUUACAUAUUUUUCAUAUAGGCAUUUCACCACCUUAAGUUUUCCGCCAUCUUGUUCCAACGCCCGUUACAAACUGGACAUCCGGUGGUGGAUCUGUCAGUAUGGACAGACAUUUCCCAGGAUUCCUUCCCAGUUUCCC